AAUGUGGUGGUUGGGGUGGGGGGGGGGGGGUCAGAAAAGGGGGACGGUCAGCGGGAAGAGCCAAGAGACUGCAACUCUACAAAGAGCACGCAGAUUAAUUCUAAUGAUUGUUCCCUGAGCUUUUCACACCAAAAUAAUGGUAACUGGCUAGUGUGUGCUCGUUACGCUCACUACUCCCACUCGAGAUCAUUCCUAUUAAUGACUCUGAGGCUUCACCUAACAGGCCACGGUGGAGGCAAGGAAAUGUGGCGUGGAGAACCCACUGGGCCUGGCUCUCCGUCCUAUGGUCUCCGUCCAUCGUUUUACAGUCAGGGUGUACAUUUGAUGAGGAAUCUCUAAAUGGGAUUUUGGGGAAUCAAAACGGAAUGGUGCAUAAGUGUGAAAAUUUACAAGACUGCGCAAAGCUGCAAGGCCCGGAGCCCCGUGCGGCCAGGCCGCAGAGCCGGCCCCUUCCGCUUUACGUCUGACGUCACGCCGCACGCCCCAGCGAGGGCGUGCGGAGUUUGGCUGCUCAGGGGUUAGCAGCUGAGCCUGCGCGAGUGCGCGGGAAGACGUUCCGCUUUGAAAUGCAGCGGGAUUUGGUGAGUUUCCCGCUGUCUCCGGCGGUGCGGGUGAAGCUGGUGUCUGCGGGGUUCCAGACGGCUGAGGAACUCCUAGAGGUGAAACCCUCCGAGCUUAGCAAAGAAGUUGGGAUAUCUAAAGCAGAAGCCUUAGAAACUCUGCAAAUUAUCAGAAGAGAAUGUCUCACAAAUAAACCAAGAUAUGCUGGUACAUCUGAGUCACGCAAGAAGUGUACAGCACUGGAACUUCUUGAGCAGGAGCAUACCCAGGGCUUCAUAAUCACCUUCUGUUCAGCACUAGAUGAUAUUCUUGGGGGUGGAGUGCCCUUAAUGAAAACAACAGAAAUUUGUGGUGCACCAGGUGUUGGAAAAACACAAUUAUGUAUGCAGUUGGCAGUAGAUGUGCAGAUACCAGAAUGUUUUGGAGGAGUGGCAGGUGAAGCAGUUUUUAUUGAUACAGAGGGAAGUUUUAUGGUUGAUAGAGUGGUAGACCUUGCUACUGCCUGCAUUGAGCACCUUCAGCUUAUAGCAGAAAAACACAAGGGAGAGGAACACCAAAAAGCUUUGGAGGAUUUCACUCUUGAUAAUAUUCUUUCUCAUAUUUAUUAUUUUCGCUGUCGUGACUACACAGAGUUACUGGCACAAGUUUAUCUUCUUCCAGAUUUCCUUUCAGAACACUCAAAGGUUCGACUAGUGAUAGUGGAUGGUAUUGCUUUUCCAUUUCGUCAUGACCUAGAUGACCUGUCUCUUCGUACUCGGUUAUUAAAUGGCCUAGCCCAGCAAAUGAUCAGCCUUGCAAAUAAUCACAGAUUAGCUGCUGGAGUGAAGUGGCACGCUCUUGGCUCACUGCAACCUCUGCCUGCCCCAGGUUCAAAUGAUUCUCCUGCCUCAGCCUCUGGAGUAGCUGGGAUUACAGGUAAUUUUAACCAAUCAGAUGACAACAAAGAUUGAUAGAAAUCAGGCCUUGCUUGUUCCUGCAUUAGGGGAAAGUUGGGGACAUGCUGCUACAAUACGGCUAAUCUUUCAUUGGGACCGAAAGCAAAGAGAUGGGGGUCUCACUAUGUUGCCCAGGAUGGCUUCAAACUCCUGGUCUCAAGUGAUCCUCAUGCCUUGCCCUCCUAAAGAGCUGGGAUUACAGACAUGAGCCACCAUGCCUGGGUGUAUCCUUUUAAAACAAUGUCUUCCUAGCUAUUUUUAUUGGGUGUAAUAUGAGUAAGUGUUUCUCAUUUGUAGUAUAAGAAAUUAUCAUAAUUCUUCAGCAAUAAUUAAAAAAACAUGAUUACUGCAGACAGUUUGGAAAAUAUAAGCAAGCAACCUUUACCUUGUGAUAACAGCUAUUAACUUCUUGAUUGUAGUCUUCUAUCAAUUCUUUUAGAUGUGCGUAUACAUACUUAUAAAUAUGGGAUAAUACAGUAUAACUAUUAUUUAGUAUAUUAUUAAUACUUUCCUAUCUCAUUGAAUAUUUUCUUCCACCUUUAGUUUUUAGCAUAAGUAAUAUCUCAUCAUAUGUAAAAUAAUUUAUUUGAAUCAGUCAUUGGACUUUUAGGUUGCUUUAAAAUUUCAUAUAAACUCUGUUAUAUACAUACGGGUAAUUUGAAGGGUGUAUUUUUAAUAUUUCUCUCCUUUUUGUGUUCUUAGAGAAAAAAUAGAAUUAUUAAUAUAAUAAACCUAUACAUUUAAAUAAUGAGUUUGGUCAUCUGAACUUUUAAUUAAUUAAGUUCAUGUGUUUGUAUGUAUUUAUUCUUUUUCUUUAAGCAGGUUGGCAACAUUGUACAAGUCACCCAGCCAGAAGGAAUGCACAGUACUGUUUCAAAUCAAACCUCAGGGAUUUAGAGAUACUGUUGUUACUUCUGCAUGUUCAUGGCAAACAGAAGGUUCCUUGAGCACCCGGAAACGGUCACGAGACCCAGAGGAAGAAUUAUAACCCAGAAACAAAUCUCAAAGUGUACAAAUUUAUUGAUGUUGUGAAAUCAAUGUGUACAAGUGGACUUGUUACUUUAAAGUAUAAAUAAACACACUAUGGCAUGAAUGAA